rnacentral:tRNA from 1 species
UAAAGAAGCUUUUAGCGAAGGCCUUUUAAGCCUUAGAUUUGAAUAUAUUUCCUUUAA